CUCUCUGUGAUUGGCUGUUAGGUAGAGCUGUCGGACAGCACCUCCCACACCAUCACAGACGCGUACGUGGGGAAGGAAUACAUCAUCCAGGUGGCGGCCAAGGACACAGAGAUCGGCACGUGGAGCGACUGGAGCGUGGCGGUGCAUGCCACGCCCUGGAUGGACCAGCACAAACAGAUCACCUCCACCACCGAGGCCGACGCCCCCAUAGAGACCACGCCCUCUACCGCCCCUCCCUCUGCAGAGCCGCAGGUGGGCGGAGCUGUGGAGGGCGCCGCCUCCAGGCCACGCCCCCUCUGGUCAUCCUGCCUGCUGCUGGCGGCCACGCUGCUCGUCAUCAUGUGAUAUAAUUGUCUCAUUCCUGUGGAAGACGUAAAGGAUCUGUUCUGUCUAUUUUGCACAUGGUCAUGGAUAUUGUGCAUUGAUAAUUUAAUUCAAGUUUCUCACUAAAAGUAAAGUAGAAAAAAAGAAGACCACGUAAAAGUUUUAAAAGAUACAUUCUUCAAAAGAAAAACAAAACACAGUGCCCUCUAGAGGAAGUAGCAUCCCGUCGAUACUCAGACACAGGAAGCCGAGGACACAUGGACAGGAAGUCAGUGGUUUGGGAUAACGAGAGUGAACAAGACACCCGCCAGCCAGCACAAGGAAGAAAGUUAUCCUCCUGAUCUUCACUCUUUUAUCACCAUUGACCCCCAUCCCUAUUUCAUCCCUCCAACAUCCUCUCCUUCCUCCAGCAAUGUGUGGAACUCCGGUUCUAGAAUUCUUUGUCAUCAUGUGCAGUGACAUACAGCUAACUCAUCAUGCCAAAGACUCGCCCAGGAACAGACACACUCUCUCACAAUCCUUAGCUUCCUGCCUUUGUGUGUGUGUGGGUAAUGAAAAGAGGGGAUGGAGAGGGAGGGGCAUAGAGGGAAGAGGGGGGGGGGAGGCGUCAGAGGGAAAGACACCUGAAGACUCUUGAUUCUAGCAAUGGCUGCCACGUACACACACACACACACACACACGUAGGUACACACACACACACACCUGAGGACAACAUUUUCUGGAGGAGUCAAUCAUGAUUCUGAAUCCUUGAGUUUGCUCUAUGUUCUGUGCAUCACCACAGAGACGGGACUGUACAAACCCAGUGGAUUAGAGAGCGUUAGACCGGUCCGGACCGGACUGGACCAGAGGGCUAUCAUAUGGACAGUUUAGUUCAGAGAGCGUUGAUGGUCUCCUGGAACAGGUCCAAGCUCUGAGCUGAAACAUCACUUUGCUUUUUAAUUCCAUUGCCUUUGAGAAAAAGAAAAAGAAGAAAAAAAAGGUUUUUUCCAAUUUUGCGUUUAAUAGCCAAGAUCACACGUUAAUAUUCUGUUAUUGGAGGACUAUUGUUGUGCUUAUGUGUGUGUUUAUUAUAAAGAUAAGAAUACACUUACAGGACCUUAGUUUUGUUUUACAGGCGUUCAUAAUUGCUUAAUUCUCCUUGAUCCUAUUUUGUAAACUAUGAUAUGUAUCUUUAACAUGAAGAAAGUUUAUUAUUUAAUGAUGUAUGUAUUAGCUUUAGACUCCGUAACCUGCAUCCUGGGUUAUUUUAUAGCUGUAUAUACAAUAAGAGGUUGUUCAUUAAAUGUGACCAUUUCACAAUGA